rnacentral:rRNA from 1 species
UCGGGAAUUUUGGGCAAUGGGCGAAAGCCUGACCCAGCAACGCCGCGUGAAGGAUGAAGUAUUUCGGUAUGUAAACUUCGUAAGAAUAGGAAGAAUAAAUGACGGUACUAUUUGUAAGGUCCGGCUAACUACGUGCCAGCAGCCGCGGUAAUACGAAGGGGGCUAGCGUUGUUCGGAAUUACUGGGCGUAAAGCGCACGUAGGCGGAUUGUUAAGUCAGAGGUGAAAUCCCGGAGCUCAACUUCGGAACUGCCUUUGAUACUGGCAAUCUAGAGUCCGGAAGAGGUUAGUGGAAUUCCCAGUGUAGAGGUGAAAUUCGUAGAUAUUGGGAAGAACACCAGUGGCGAAGGCGGCCAACUGGCUCGAUACUGACGCUGAGGUGCGAAAGCGUGGGGAGCAAACAGGAUUAGAUACCCCCGUAGUCCCUGAGCGGGCUGGCAAGGCGCAU